rnacentral:rRNA from 1 species
GUGCCAGCCGCCGCGGUAAGACGGAGGGUGCAAGCGUUGUUCGGAAUCAUUGGGCGUAAAGGGCGCGCAGGCGGCCUCCCAUGUCCGAUGUGAAAGCCCGGGGCUCAACCCCGGAAGCGCAUUGGAGACUGGGUGGCUUGAGUCCGAGAGGGGACCGUGGAAUUUCUGGUGUAGGGGUGAAAUCCGUAGAGAUCAGAAGGAACACCGGAGGUGAAAACGACGGUCUGGAUCGGGACUGACGCUGAGGCGCGACAGCGCGGGUAGCGAACAGGAUUAGAAACCCAGUAGCC